rnacentral:rRNA from 1 species
UACAUAGGUGGCAAGCGUUAUCCGGAAUUAUUGGGCGUAAAGCGCGCGCAGGCGGUUUCUUAAGUCUGAUGUGAAAGCCCACGGCUCAACCGUGGAGGGUCAUUGGAAACUGGGGAACUUGAGUGCAGAAGAGAAAAGCGGAAUUCCACGUGUAGCGGUGAAAUGCGUAGAGAUGUGGAGGAACACCAGUGGCGAAGGCGGCUUUUUGGUCUGUAACUGACGCUGAGGCGCGAAAGCGUGGGGAGCAAACAGG